rnacentral:rRNA from 1 species
UACGUAGGGAGCAAGCGUUAUCCGGAUUUAUUGGGUGUAAAGGGUGCGUAGACGGGAAAAUAAGUUAGCUGUGAAAUCCCUCGGCUUAACUGAGGAACUGCAACUAAAACUGUUUUUCUUGAGUACUGGAGAGGAAAGUGGAAUUCCUAGUGUAGCGGUGAAAUGCGUAGAUAUUAGGAGGAACACCAGUGGCGAAGGCGACUUUCUGGACAGAAACUGACGUUGAGGCACGAAAGUGUGGGGAG